rnacentral:rRNA from 1 species
GACGAACGCUGGCGGCGUGCUUAACACAUGCAAGUCGAACGGAAAGGCCCUGCUUUUGUGGGGUGCUCGAGUGGCGAACGGGUGUGUAACACGUGAGUAACCUGCCCUUGACUUUGGGAUAACUUCAGGAAACUUGGGCUAAUACCGGAUAGGAGCUCCUGCUGCAUGGUGGGUGUUGGAAAGUUUCGGCGGUUGGGGAUGGACUCGCGGCUUAUCAGCUUGUUGGUGGGGUAGUGGCUUACCAAGGCUUUGACGGGUAGCCGGCCUGAGAGGGUGACCGGCCACAUUGGGACUGCGAUACGGCCCAGACUCCUACGGGAGGCAGCAGUGGGGAAUAUUGCAGAAUGGGCGGAAGCCUGAUGCAGCAACGCCGCGUGCGGGAUGACGGCCUUCGGGUUGUAAACCGCUUUCGCCUGUGACGAAGCGUAAGUGACGGUAAUGGGUAAAGAAGCAACGGCUAACUACGUG